rnacentral:lncRNA from 1 species
GAGAGUGAAGAUGCAGAAGACAUAUCCUUUCCAUUGUGACCCAGAUAAGAAUGUAGCCGGUGAGCUUGCUUCCUGUCACUCAUUUCCCAGCUAUUUGUUGUAGUCCAAGUUGUGCAUAUUCUUUCUGUUAGGUUCUUAUGUUUGUCUUAAGCUCACCCAUCUUUUCUUCUUCCCUCAUUUUUUCUUUAUAAAUCAAGAAAAAUUCUGCCACUUUCUUUCCCUGGCUCACUGCACAGCCAAUCAAUAAUUUUGAAUCCUUUGUGUAUCAAUUUCUACUGGCUAU